ACCAGAGUGGUGUAGUGGUUUGAGCACUGGAUUCCAACUCUGGAAACUAGGAUUCAAAUCCCCACUGUGCUA